GAUGAAGAACGUAGCGAAAUGCGAUAAGUAAUGUGAAUUGCAGAAUUCAGUGAAUCAUCGAAUCUUUGAACGCACAUUGCGCCCGUCAGUAUUCUGGCGGGCAUGCCUGUUCGAGCGUCAUUACGCCCCUCAAGUCCCCUGUGGACUUGGUGUUGGGGAUCGGCGAGGCUGGUUUUCCAGCACAGCCGUCCCUUAAAUUAAUUGGCGGUCUCGCCGUGGCCCUCCUCUGCGCAGUAGUAAAACACUCGCAACAGGAGCCCGGCGCGGUCCACUUCCGUAAAACCCCCCAACUUUUUAUAGUUGACCUCGAAUCAGGUAGGACUACCCGCUGAACUUAAGCAUAUCAAUAAGCGGAGGA
rnacentral:misc_RNA from 1 species